CCCAGAAGAGUAGCACGUGGCCCAGCUGACCGCCAGGUGCUGACCCCACCCCUUCUCCCCCACCGCAUGGGCACGUGGCUUGCUCGGUACUCAGCUGACUUCCUGUCCCUGGAAGAGCAGCUGCCAGUAUGCCGGGGCAGGGCGGUCCCCUUCCUGUGGUUCAGGUAAGGGCAUAACCCCAUGCCUUCUUAGCAUCCUCCCUCUGUCCCUUCCCAGGCUCUGCAAGUCAGACCUGGGUACCCCAGAGAGCCUCUCAGGGCCAGAUGUUGGUCCAGAGGCCUCAGCUGCAGGGUGGGGGGCGCAGGGUGGGCAGAGAGGGGACUGCAGGUCUUGACUGAAGACGGUUUGGGAGGAGCUGAGAACCUUCCCUCCAGCUAUCAAAGACACUUGGAGGCUUUCUGCAUCACACUGCCUCGCUGAGCCUCUCUGACAGGUGAUGCAAAUGAAAGCCCCUUAACCUCUCUCCCUGGCCUCCCCAACCUGGUGUUGUGGGUUCGACAGGAGCUUCUCCACCCCACCUUCAGAUCCUGGAUGUGACUGCUGGACAUCACCUCGACUUUCCCCUAGGUGACAUUGCCAAGGAACCGUGGCACUGCCUGUGUUUCCCAUGCCCAGCUCCAUGGCUCCACCUCCCUCUCUCUCUUCCCCGUGGAAGCUCAAAAUAAGCUUUUUAGAGGACGAUGUUCCUGGUGCGAGGGUCAUCUGAGGCUGCUAAGACUGAAGCUCUUCACCAGAGACGUGCAGGAAGCCCCCUGCAGCGCAGUGAGGCAAUGUCUGGGGAGCGCCAGGCCCUCCCCGGGCGCCCUGGCCCGCAGCCUGCCUCCCCGCCCGCAGGCCAUCCGCUGGGCUCCAUCCCCGGGCGCCUUCGCAGCCUGGCCUCGGGGCUCAAGGUGUUUUUAGCGGGCAUGAAGGGGCAUUUGGCACGCCUCUCUGCCCAAGAACAGGGAAGGGCACAUUUCUCAGGCUCUUCUUGGAAGACGAAAGUAAAAGAGAAAAGAUCUUAAUUUGAGAUCCCACAGGACCACAGGCCCGGGUAGACUGGUGUCCUCCCCAAAUUCAAGUCCGUGAACCUAGAAAUGUAACCUUAUUUGGAAACAGGGUCUUUGCAGAUGUAAUUAAGUUACGAUGAGGUCAUCCUGUAUGAGUUUGGGCCCUAAUCCAAUGACUGGCAUCCUUGUAAGAAGAGGGAAGUUUGGACACAGGCACACAGAGAAGCAGCCCACGUGACGGUGGAGGCAGACACUGGAGUGCUGCGUCUCCGAGCCAAGAAACGCCAGUUACCCAGGGUCGUUGGCACGGCAGAGCUGGAGGGGGCACGGAGGGAGUCUUCUAUAAAGGCUGCAGAGGGCGCGUGGCCCUGCGACACUUGGAUUUGGGACUUCUGGCCUCCGGAAACGUGAGAGAAUAAGUUUCUGUAGUUUUAGGCUGCUCGGCUUAUGGCAGCCCUAGGACACUGACAACCACAGAGGACAGUUGGGGAAACAAGGAGGAAACACAUCCGGCACAUAAAGAAAAGACUUGGAAGAGACAAGGGGGGAACAGGAAGGAACACUUCCCCAACUUCCUCCUCUAACCCGACAGGAAGCUGGGACCUCGUGGCUGAGCCUUGGAAGAAGUGGCUGCUUUCCUCCUAGCAAGAAACCCUCCAGAGACCAGCAAGGAGGGCGCCGAGACCAGGCAGCAGAGUUCUGCCUCCAUCCUGGGCAGUCUGACGCAGUGGCUUGAAUCCUGCCUCUAGGGUCAAGGUCACCUUGUCUGCUCCACCCUGAACCCCCGUGGGCCAUCUCCGGUUAGCUGUCUUGCUCGAGCCAUGCGUCAAGUGUUUGCUGAGCUUCUGCCAGGCCACCCAUCUGCUGGAUUUUGUGAAGAACACAAGAAAGUGGAAGAUACAGUGCCUGGUAUGGAGUCAGCACUCAGUAAAUAAUCAUUGGAUGAAUGAACAAAUGCUGCAGUACCUCCUGGGGCGUGGAUCCCCAACAUGGCGUGGCGGCCUGAGCAGGGGUUCCACCUGCGCCGGUGUCUCCUGCCGCUGCUGCACCUACAGUUGAAGAACACUGCAGCCCCACCCCCACUGCGCAGCCUCCCGGGACACCAUCCACAGAGCUGCAAAGAUCCUAUCCUGAACAGUGCCCCCUGCAGUUGUGCAGCGCAGAGGCAGGUCCCCGUGGGUUUUAUAUUUCAUGUCUAUGCCUUCCAUAGCCUGUACAUUAUAGAUACUAAAUAUAUAUUCAGUAUUUAUUUAUUUUUUUUGUAUGAAAAGACUGAUUUGAGAUGGGGGAGGGGAGAAAGAGAGGAAAUACAUCUUCUUGUGUAACAUAA